UGAGUUCUAGGGUGUGCGCGUUGUCCACAUACGUGUUUGCCGAACAACUAAUGUUACAUUGGGACAUGGGUUAACUCUGCCGGAUUUGCAGGCCUUUUACACUUGGUAGCUUGAACGCAGAUAUACCCGUCCCACCUGCUUAUCAGCGGGCCAAAACCUAUCGGACAAAUUAACGGCACUAUUAGAUCUUCA
rnacentral:other from 1 species